rnacentral:lncRNA from 1 species
AUACAAACAAUAAAUACAGAAAAGGGAACUGCACAACCACAAAAUAUGGAUGUGCCUAGAAAAAUCGCUACAUGUGAUUAUGCAGCGCAAAAAAAUCUAAAGUCAGUCUACACUUCCAUCCCCCGGUAAAGUGAAACAACUUGUACAUUCAACACCAACAAAUCUAAUACAGAAAACCAGUAAGUUAAUUUAGACGAAUAAAUUGCACAUUUCUUGGCCUAAAAACUUUAUGGAAACUUACGAUGCAAAUUAGAAGAAAAAAAGAACGAGAAUGACCACUAUGUCAUUAUAUCAUAAUAUUUGUUCAACACUUAAACUUGGAAGAAAAUAAAAAAGCGCGAUAGAAAACAAAGAGUACGGGAGUGAGUAGAUACCACAUUUCUUGCAGUGAAAAUAAUUCUCACGACCACCAACUCUGAAAAUCAAAA